rnacentral:rRNA from 1 species
UACGUAGGGGGCUAGCGUUGUCCGGAAUCAUUGGGCGUAAAGCGCGCGUAGGCGGCCCAGUAAGUCCGUUGUAAAAGUCAAAGGCUCAACCUUUGAAAGCCGAUGGAUACUGCUGGGCUAGAGUCCGGAAGAGGAGAGUGGAAUUCCUGGUGUAGCGGUGAAAUGCGUAGAUAUUGGGAGGAACACCAGUGGCGAAGGCGGCUCACUGGACUGGUACUGACGCUGAGGCGCGAAAGCGUGGGGAGCAAACGGG